UGGUCGGACAUCAGGAGGUUAGUGCAAUGGCAUAAGCCAGCUUGACUGCGAGCGUGACGGCGCGAGCAGGUGCGAAAGCAGGUCAUAGUGAUCCGGUGGUUCUGAAUGGAAGGGCCAUCGCUCAACGGAUAAAAGGUACUCCGGGGAUAACAGGCUGAUACCGCCCAAGAGUUCAUAUCGACGGCGGUGUUUGGCACCUCGAUGUCGGCUCAUCACAUCCUGGGGCUGAAGUAGGUCCCAAGGGUAUGGCUGUUCGCCAUUUAAAGUGGUACGCGAGCUGGGUUUAGAACGUCGUGAGACAGUUCGGUCCCUAUCUGCCGUGGGCGCUGGAGAACUGAGGGGGGCUGCUCCUAGUACGAGAGGACCGGAGUGGACGCAUCACUGGUGUUCGGGUUGUCAUGCCAAUGGCACUGCCCGGUAGCUAAAUGCGGAAGAGAUAAGUGCUGAAAGCAUCUAAGCACGAAACUUGCCCCGAGAUGAGUUCUCCCUGAGACUUUAGGUCUCCUGAAGGAACGUUGAAGACGACGACGUUGAUAGGCCGGGUGUGUAAGCGCAGCGAUGCGUUGAGCUAACCGGUACUAAUGAACCGUGAGGCUUAACCUUACAACGCCGAAG
rnacentral:rRNA from 3 species